UGCGGAGGAUCAUUGUCGAGACCCUGCCCAGCAGAAGGACCGGCGAAC
rnacentral:rRNA from 1 species